rnacentral:rRNA from 1 species
UACGUAGGGGGCGAGCGUUGUCCGGAUUUAUUGGGCGUAAAGCGCACGUAGGCGGACUCUUAAGUCGGUGGUGAAAUCCUGGAGCUCAACUCCAGAACUGCCUUCGAUACUGGGAGUCUCGAGUUCGGGAGAGGUGAGUGGAACUGCGAGUGUAGAGGUGAAAUUCGUAGAUAUUCGCAAGAACACCAGUGGCGAAGGCGGCUCACUGGCCCGAUACUGACGCUGAGGUGCGAAAGCGUGGGGAGCAAACAGG